rnacentral:rRNA from 1 species
GAUGAACGCUGGCGGCGUGCCUAAUACAUGCAAGUCGAGCGAACGGACGAGAAGCUUGCUUCUCUGAUGUUAGCGGCGGACGGGUGAGUAACACGUGGAUAACCUACCUAUAAGACUGGGAUAACUUCGGGAAACCGUAGCUAAUACCGGAUAAUAUUUUGAACCGCAUGGUUCAAAAGUGAAAGACGGUCUUGCUGUCACUUAUAGAUGGAUCCGCGCUGCAUUAGCUAGUUGGUAAGGUAACGGCUUACCAAGGCAACGAUGCAUAGCCGACCUGAGAGGGUGAUCGGCCACACUGGAACUGAGACACGGUCCAGACUCCUACGGGAGGCAGCAGUAGGGAAUCUUCCGCAAUGGGCGAAAGCCUGACGGAGCAACGCCGCGUGAGUGAUGAAGGUCUUCGGAUCGUAAAACUCUGUUAUUAGAGAAGAACAUAUGUGUAAGUAACUGUGCACAUCUUGACGGUACCUAAUCAGAAAGCCACGGCUAACUACGUG